rnacentral:rRNA from 1 species
GAUGAACGCUGGCGGCGUGCCUAAUACAUGCAAGUCGAGCGAACAGACGAGGAGCUUGCUCCUCUGACGUUAGCGGCGGACGGGUGAGUAACACGUGGAUAACCUACCUAUAAGACUGGGAUAACUUCGGGAAAUCGGAGCUAAUACCGGAUAAUAUAUUGAACCGCAUGGUUCAAUAGUGAAAGACGGUUUUGCUGUCACUUAUAGAUGGAUCCGCGCCGCAUUAGCUAGUUGGUAAGGUAACGGCUUACCAAGGCAACGAUGCGUAGCCGACUGAGAGGGUGAUCGGCCACACUGGAACUGAGACACGGUCCAGACUCCUACGGGAGGCAGCAGUAGGGAAUCUUCCGCAAUGGGCGAAAGCCUGACGGAGCAACGCCGCGUGAGUGAUGAAGGUCUUCGGAUCGUAAAACUCUGUUAUUAGGGAAGAACAAAUGUGUAAGUAACUAUGCACGUCUUGACGGUACCUAAUCAGAAAGCCACGGCUAACUACGUG